rnacentral:tRNA from 1 species
GGUACUGUACUUUAUUUUAUUAGAAGAUUUAGUUUGCAACUAAAAAGAAGAAGUUUGUUCUCAGAACCA